UGAAAAGGAGAGCCAACAACCAUUAAAUUUA
rnacentral:piRNA from 1 species